rnacentral:lncRNA from 1 species
CCAACUAAUUUAUCAAAGAUUAUAUUCCUGAAGAUCUUAAUUGAUUUUCCAAAAAAAAGGGAUGAGAAUGUUCUGUGAUCAAUAACGUUUGGAAAUGACGAAUUGAAGAAAAUUGAAGAGAUUUCUUCGCUGCGGAUCUUUGUAGGGGUCUUGGCACCCUAAUGUGCAUUCGAACUGCAAAGAGGGGGCCACAGUCAGAAUUUCCGUAUUUGACCCUGAAAUCCACCCCCUCCGCCAUGGGCCCAAAUUUCACCAUCUUCUUGGGAUAUAGUGUUCCACGGGACCCAGUUUGGGAGACCCCAAUCCAGUCCAAACUUCUCAUUCAUAGAGGAAAGAUCUGAGCCUCAGAGCAAGGAAAGACUGCUGCUCCAGGUUCCGUGUUGACUGGAGGCCAGUUCUGGAAUCCUGGCCCUGAAUCUGGGGCUCUCUCAAUUAAACAGACCAUCCUGUCUGAGGCCCGGCGGGUUGAAAGGUGGACAUAGUUAAUAUCUCGGUUAUAUGUGAAAUAAAUGAGAAUAUUCUGAUGACUUUGCAAAAUAGGGCAGUCCAGAGAAGAAUGGAGGGAGAUACCAAGCUGAGGAAAGGUGGGGGAUCUGCGAGGCUGGAUGGUGGGGCUCGGGCAGAGGGUUCACAUCCUCUCUGUGUCCUCCCCCCCACGCUUCAGAACCUUCUGUGACGGCGCCACGGCUCUGCGAUGCGAUGCGAUGCGGGCCCGGAACUCAGCUCCUAGGCGCCGCGUCUCAGCGGCCAGCUGCACCCGCUUGAUGGGCGAAUCUCUCUCUUCUCCUGAAUGGGGUGAGUGGCCCCUGGCGGAGCUCAAGCCUGGCUUCUUGGAGGAUCAGGUCUGUCUUCUGCUUCCUGUGGGGCCAGGCUCUUCCUUCUGGUUUCUCCAUUUCCUAAAGAGGAAUCCAUUUCUAUUAAUGUGGAAGAAAACUGGAAACACAGAUCAGGCACCUACUUGGAAGGCCUGUUUAUGCUCGUUUGUCUCCAUCUUCUCACUAUCGUCCUCACCUACUCCUCAGCUCACCCCCAGCUGGCCUCUGCCCUCCAUCCCAGGGAACCUGCUCCAGCUGAUGGCAACGCUUCCUUAGUCAUGGCGCCGCUCAGCCUUCACCUCUCUAGUUUCUCCGCAAGACUGACCCGGUUGACACCCUUCUAGGAGCUCUCCUCCCUGGCCUCCUGAAGUCCAUAUUCUCCUGGCUUUUCCCCUAAGCCCACCUGCCCCUCCACAUCCUCUCGUUGAAGGAGAAGAGCUCUGGAGCCACCCUGGGCCUCUUUCCCGCAUGGCAUUCUCUCCUCCAGGCCAGCUCUCCCGGGCUUCUGCUCCCUCCCCAUCCCCACGCACGAGCUUGGGCUCAGGCUCUCCCCUCCAAUCUGAACAGGCCCGUCCCCCGCCAAGCUUCCCCACGGGAGACCCUCACAGGCUCCACGGGUCCAAAACCCCACGGGUCCCGCGGAUCUGCGGCUGCUCCUGGAUCCCUUCCCGCCGCGGAUCCCCGUUCACCCGGCUCUCCGCCCAGACGCCGGGCAGGCCCCGACCCUGCCCCCUGCACACGCCCGGUCCCCCAGCCCACCCCCCAGCUCUCUCUACACCCCCUCCUCUGCUCAUGCCGCAGCCCCGGCCCAAGGCCGACCCAGCAUCCAAGCCUCCCCCAGACCAGCUGGGCCUGGGCAAUCGGCGUGCUCCGCUUCACACCCUCGCGGGUGCAGCGCGGUCACUCCUCCGGUGUCCACCCCUAGGAGGUCUGAGGUCAGGAGGAAGAGCGCCAGGGCAGCGCUGUCCCUGGGUUCUGGCGCACAGACCGAGCCUGGGGACGAGCGAGGUCAGUCCACACUCGUCGGAACUUGAGAACCAGAAAACGAGAGCGAGAGCGCGCUUUGACCUUCUCUUCAGGGAUGGGAGGCUCUGGGCCACCGUCCCCAUCCGCCACACACAACAUGGCGGCGACCUGCGCCCUCUCCCGACUUCCGCUUCCGGUUCGGGGACACGUCACUUCCUCUCCGGUUGCCGUGGAGCGCUUUGGAAGCUAAGCGUCCUGCCUCCUCUGCUGCUUUGCUCUCCGCGAGUCUCGCCUCUGCUCCGGGGGGCGCGGAGCGAGCGGCUCCGAGGCUCUGCCGCCGGCGGCUUGGCGGCGGGGGACCGUUCAUCCUAGUGGCUGGAUUGGCAAGAUGUAUUGAGCACUGCCGACCUCGGGCCUGGGGACGUGGAGGGUGAGGAGACACUCCUGCCCUCAAGAGUCCAGGGGACAGCAAGAGAGAGCAGCACAGGGCAGAAGCCACCUGAGGACAACGGUGUGUCUUAUUCUCUGCGCUGGCUCCCAUCCUUGGGGGCCUCAUCAGUGCCUGUCGAAUGGAUGGAAGCUUCUGAGCGCUUGCUCCUUGCCGGCCUUGUGUCCAGUAUUGGACAUUCAAAGUGGAACGGGACCCACUGAAGAGCCCAAAUAGAAACCAGAGGGAUGUGCACCUUCCUGGUAAUAUGACCCCACCAAGACAAGCUAACGAUACCCAGGAGGACAUCCAGAAGGAUGAGGGGCCCUUCCCCUGGGGAAGGAGGGACGGGGACACCAGGCAGAGGGCACAGCACAGGCAAAGGCAGAGACGUUAAAGUUCAUGUCCCAUUUGGGCAAAGGGUGUGGACCCAGUGAAGCUGGAACGCAGGUGACAGGUGAGACGGGACGAGGCCCUCACGGAGGGCCCACUGCGAUGGGUCACGGAGUCUGAAGAUUUCUGUUGUUUUCCAUUUCUUUGUAUCCCUAGCCCUUCUCUCAUGCGGGACGUAUGGUGGAGGUUCGGUGAAAAGUACUGAAUGUGAACUGACAACAGGAGAUGUUAACUGUUUCUAGAAGGGAAACCAGUGGUCCUGGAUUCAAAAGCGACCUCCUGGCAUCUUAUUCUCUUCUGUCGUAUCUAUUGGCGGGUCUUUGUGGUAGCUGGGGGAAGCUAAGCUGCUGUAACAAAGAGACUCUCUGCCAUCCAUCUCCCCCCAACAUCCCGUACCAUAAAGGACAAAGAAAUUUCCGUGUCUGUUUUGUAGUCGCUUUGGGUGCAUGGAUCUCCUCACUUGGUCGCUUGGAGACUCAGACCGAUCCCCUCUGUCAUGUUUCUCCACCAGUCCUGGGGCGUUGUAAACACCUUCCUGGACGAAGCUGGGUUUCAGCCCUGUGCUGGGUGUAGACAGCGGGGAGGGAAAAGAGGUCAAGGAGGAGGUGAGGCGUGGUCUGAAAGGCUCCGUGUCAGAUGGACCACACUUCACUUCUGCUGCCAUCCCGCUGGCGAGAACGUGACUUAACCGCAAAGAAGGCCGGGAAGUAUAGUCUGGCUGAGCCGCUAGGCGCCCACCUUCAAUUCUACAGCUCGAGAGGGAGCUAGAAUGGAUCUGGUGGACAACGAGCCAAGGCAGCUGCUGCCGCAGGCUCCUGUUCCCCAGGAGACAGAUGGCUGGAGGCUGGCUGGUGGGUGACUCCAGGUCCCUCGGGCUUUCCUCACCCAGGGAGUAGAGCCGUGAGCUCUGCCUCUGCCCCCAGCUGCCAGGGAGAGGCUGUGGGGGUCCCCUGACCUCAGCCCGCCCCUUUCUCUGAACGAUGCUCUCGGUGGUCGGGCCUCUCCUCAGCCCGUCUCCUGUCUUCAAUUCCUGGCUGUGAUGACUCCCAGCCAGACCUGGUCCUCGGUCCUGCUGCUCAGUGGAAACCUCGGUCAGCAAGUGAGCAUCAGGCUCCAGGUUCCAAUGGCGCUGAGGGACGAUGUGACUGGAGAAACUGCUCAAAGUGCUGGAGACACGGGAAUGAGUCAUUAAUUACAAAUCACUAUUAUCCGCAGGUUAACAGAGGCCCCUGCUACGGGCUGAAUGUUCGUGUUCCCCAAAAUUCCUGUGUUGAAUCCUAACAGCGCUGUGACGGCGUGAGGAGGGGGGGCCCUUCAGGAGGAGGCAGGGCUCCUGUGAAUGGGAUUAGCGCCCAUCUAAAUAAGGCCCACGAGAGCUCCCUGGGCCCCUCCCCACGUGUGGUUAAAGCUAGAAGCUUCGAUGCAAACCAGGAAAAGAGCCGCCCCAGACGCCGGAACUCGCCAGCGCCCCAGGCUCAGGCCUCCCAGCUUCCGGGGCCGUGAGACGUGAACCGCGGUCUGUAAGCCCCCAUUCUGCGCUGUUCUGUCACAGCAGCCGGGAGGCACGGACAGCCCCCACCGCCUCUUCCUGCCGAUACUGUCCUAGCCCAGCGGGGUUACUGUACGUACCUGGAAGAAUAAAACAGCAUUUCAGAGUUCAGGAAUAUAAACCCAAAUUGGACUUUUGUACAAAUAGUAUAAAACCUCCUUCAUAUUAAAAUUAAUAAUAGCUAAUAUUUAUUGAGCACUCACUCAAUCCUUACCGCCCCGGGUGAAUAUUAUUUAUGAGCCCCGUUUUCAGACAAGGAGGCUGAGAUCUAGAGAGGUCAGGUAACCUGACUGAGGCCACAUGGGGAGUCCAGAGCAAAGCUGGGGUUUGAGCCCAGCUCGUGGAGCCUGACCCCCGAGGUUCUUAGGAGGCUGCUCGCCCGGGCAUCAUGGGAAUAACUUUUCCUGCACACCGGCAGUGCCCGGCGGCCCCACCGAGAGGCCAUCAGAUGCGCCUCCCCUCCGGCUCUCUCCCUGCCCCCUGCCUCAUCGCUCUCCCGUCCUCUUACUGGUCCAGGGCCGAAGCCGUCUUCCUCUUCCUCGAGCAGCCCCCGAUCUUUCUCAAAUGUUAGCAAAGCUGAUCAUGUCACCUUCUGCCUGGAAACCUUUCCUGUUCCUGUCACCUGCAGAGAACAGCUGCCCCUGGCAUCUGAGGCCCUGCACGACCUGGCUUUGCUCCCCAUCCAGGCUUUCGCCCAUCACCUCCUCUGCCACCCCACCCC